rnacentral:rRNA from 1 species
GCGCAUAACACAUGCAAGUCGAACGAUGAAACUUCAAAGAUCCCUUCGGGGUGAAUUGAAAUGGAUUUGUGGCGAACGGGUGAGUAACGCGUGAGUAACCUGCCUUACACAAGGGGAUAGCCUCUGGAAACGGAGAAUAAUACCCUAUAACACCAUAAAAGGACAUCCAGUUAUGGUCAAAGUGUUAGCGGUGUAAGAUGGACUUGCGUCUGAUUAGCUAGUUGGUGAGAUAAAAGCUCACCAAGGCAACGAUCAGUAGCCGGCUUGAGAGAGUGUACGGUCACAUUGGGACUGAGACACGGCCCAGACUCCUACGGGAGGCAGCAGUGGGGAAUUUUGCACAAUGGGGGAAACCCCUGA